AAAGUCAAAACCUGCAUAUGAUAUUGUAUUCCUAAUGCGUAGUAUAAUUAUAGGGAUUGCAUUCCUAAUUAGUUAGAGACAAAGUGUAUAUACAUGUGUAACAAUUCCUUGAGAAGUACAUAGAGAAAAUUUCUUCUACAUGGGAUCAAAGCAGGUUAUGGCCUGGUUUCAGUUUUAGUUCAAUUUCCCAGUGUUGCAUCUGCAUUUCAGUUUCAAAUGUCAACCGGAUGUCCCAGUUGCAACUUGAGGGGGAGUAUUGGAAUAUUACUUGUGGGAAAAAGUCCCAUGUUGGCGGCAUACAAGAAAUUAAAGGGCAUAUAAGUGUU
rnacentral:misc_RNA from 1 species